AUUGAACGCUGGCGGCAGGCCUAACACAUGCAAGUCGAACGGUAACAGGAAACAGCUUGCUGUUUCGCUGACGAGUGGCGGACGGGUGAGUAAUGUCUGGGAAACUGCCUGAUGGAGGGGGAUAACUACUGGAAACGGUAGCUAAUACCGCAUAACGUCGCAAGACCAAAGAGGGGGACCCUCGGGCCUCUUGCCAUCGGAUGUGCCCAGAUGGGAUUAGCUUGUUGGUGGGGUAACGGCUCACCAAGGCGACGAUCCCUAGCUGGUCUGAGAGGAUGACCAGCCACACUGGAACUGAGACACGGUCCAGACUCCUACGGGAGGCAGCAGUGGGGAAUAUUGCACAAUGGGCGCAAGCCUGAUGCAGCCAUGCCGCGUGUAUGAAGAAGGCCUUCGGGUUGUAAAGUACUUUCAGCGGGGAGGAAGGGAGUAAAGUUAAUACCUUUGCUCAUUGACGUUACCCGCAGAAGAAGCUCCGGCUAACUCCGUG
rnacentral:rRNA from 1 species